rnacentral:misc_RNA from 1 species
GUUUGGAUUGGAGUGCUUUGCAUGGUUUUAUGCUGAAUAACAUAUCUGGUCAUGUAUGUUGUGAUCAAUUGACAAUAAAAGGGAAAAAGAAAAGGGUUGACACUUAAUCAAUUCAACUCUGAAAGCACUAGGCAGAUCAACCUGAAGCAGCAAUCAAACAUAGUACCCAGUAAAUGUAAAUCCUCGACCUACAAUUUCUCCAGCACAAAACCAUGCAAAGCACUCCAAUCCAAACAAAGCAGCAAUGCCAGCAUCCUCAAUCCUAAGCUCCUGCCUAUUUUUCCACAGAUGCUUGACAUAAUCAAGCUCCUUCCAGAAUGCUUCAUACCGCCCAGGAAUACUCCCAAGACGAGUGUAAAACAACUGUUUUGACAAAAGAUUGCAUUUCUCAACAGUGGGUGGUUCCUGGAUGUACUGCUUGUUCUGCUCUAAUAGCUGCUUGUAGUAGGCAGUACCAUGCUUGGCCACGAAUUGCGAGGCCUGAGCAGCCUUUGAUUGCAACUGAACUAGCUUUGACGCCAUUUUUUCCCUGAACCUAUAUCUGCGUUGAUGAUUAGUGCGAGAGAAUAGCUUCGUGUGGCUUUUAUUGUGGGGGUUUUUUGGGGUCUCUUCUGCUUGGGUAAAUUUCAGAUUAGGUACCUAAACUUACAUGUUCUAACAAUAUGGUAUCUCAAUCCAUGUACACAAGAAUUGUAGGAUUGGAUACUCGAUCGUAUCACUACCUUUUGGCCAUUGAACAAAGUUAG